GAUUAACGCUGGCGGCGUGCAUAACACAUGCAAGUCGAACGAUGAAACUUAGUAGACUUCUUCGGAAAGACACUAAGCGGAUUAGUGGCGAACGGGUGAGUAACGCGUGAGUAACCUGCCUUACACAAGGGGAUAGCCUUUGGAAACGAAGAAUAAUACCCUAUAAAACCAUAAAAGCACAUGCUAGAAUGGUCAAAGUGCUAGCGGUGUAAGAUGGACUUGCGUCUGAUUAGCUAGUUGGUAAGGUAACGGCUUACCAAGGCAACGAUACGUAGCCGACCUGAGAGGGUGAUCGGCCACACUGGAACUGAGACACGGUCCAG
rnacentral:rRNA from 1 species